GGCCUACGGGGGGCUGCAGUGGGGAAUAUUGGACAAUGGGCGCAAGCCUGAUCCAGCAAUGCCGCGUGAGUGAGGAAGGCCUUAGGGUUGUAAAGCUCUUUCACCCGCGACGAUGAUGACGGUAGCGGGAGAAGAAGCCCCGGCUAACUUCGUGCCAGCAGCCGCGGUAAUACGAAGGGGGCGAGCGUUGUUCGGAUUUACUGGGCGUAAAGGGCGCGCAGGCGGCUCGUUUUGUCAGGCGUGAAAGCCCCGGGCUUAACCGGGGAACUGCGCUUGAUACGGGAGGGCUAGAGUUCGGGAGAGGAGAGGGGAAUUCCCAGUGUAGAGGUGAAAUUCGUAGAUAUUGGGAAGAACACCGGUGGCGAAGGCGGCUCUCUGGACCGAGACUGACGCUGAGGCGCGAAAGCGUGGGGAGCAAACAGGAUUAGAUACCCUUGUAGUC
rnacentral:rRNA from 1 species